rnacentral:rRNA from 1 species
UACAGAGGGUGCAAGCGUUAAUCGGAAUUACUGGGCGUAAAGCGUGCGUAGACGGUUAUGUAAGUCGGGUGUGAAAGCCCCGGGCUCAACCUGGGAAUUGCAUUCGAGACUGCAUAGCUAGGGUGCGGAAGAGGGAAGCGGAAUUUCCGGUGUAGCGGUGAAAUGCGUAGAUAUCGGAAGGAACACCUGUGGCGAAAGCGGCUCACUGGACCAUUACUGACGCUGAGGCACGAAAGCUAGGGGAGCAAACAGG